UGUAAGACAGCCACUCCACCCACUGCAGUCUACAAGGAAAGCCUCCAUAGCUCUGCUUAUUACCGCCAACAGGAUUUCUUUAGUACUAAGCUUCAGGAAACCAGCAACUUGCUUGAGAUGUGUCCCACUUCUCGUUCUGGGCCCAUGAAACUUGGAUGAAACUAUGCCUGCCAUCUGGUUCUUACUUCAGGGUCACGGACUUAAGAUUGCCCAUUCAUUCCUCUUUAAUAAGACAUCUUGGUGACUAAUGGCUAACCAGUCCAUGAUCACACAUCACUGUGAUGGUGUCACAUACUUGGUAUUUUUUAAUUUAGGGAAUGUUGUGAUCCAACAUGGCUGUCAUGGACUUGAUGCAAUAAAGCAAACUGUAGCUGAGCUGAAA
rnacentral:antisense_RNA from 1 species